GUUGAUCCUGCCAGUAGUCAUAUGCUUGUCUCAAAGAUUAAGCCAUGCAUGUCUAAGUACGUGCCUUUACAAGGUGAAACCGCGAAUGGCUCAUUAAAUCAGUCAUGGUUUACUAGACCGUUCUAUCCUACUUGGAUAACUGUGGUAAUUCUAGAGCUAAUACAUGCCAAGAGUCUCCUGCCCUUGUGGCUCGAGCGCUUUUAUUAGACCAAAACCAAUCGAGUACUUGUACUCGUUAGUUUGUGGUGACUCUGGAUAACUUUGAGCAGAUCGCAUGGUCUUUGUGCCGGCGACGUAUCUUUCAAAUGUCUGCCUUAUCAACUGUCGAUGGUAGGUUACUUGCCUACCAUGGUUGUAACGGGUGACGGGGAAUCAGGGUUCGAUUCCGGAGAGGGAGCCUGAGAAACGGCUGCCACAUCCAAGGAAGGCAGCAGGCACGCAAAUUACCCACUCCCAGCACGGGGAGGUAGUGACGAAAAAUAACGAUGCGGGACUCUUACGAGGCCCCGUAAUCGGAAUGAGCACACUUUAAAUCCUUUAACAAGGACCUAUUGAAGGGCAAGUCUGGUGCCAGCAGCCGCGGUAAUUCCAGCUUCAAUAGCGUAUAUUAAAGUGGUUGCCGGUUA
rnacentral:rRNA from 1 species